AGGAUGUUAUUGUUGUAUACAAGUACAAAAAUGAGUAGUUUCAUUACGUGACGAGUUAUGCUUAUACGCAGCAUCUUUCGUAAUGUCACGUAAGAAAUGAAUAUCUCAGAGACUGAAGCAAUCGGGAACACUGAGAUGAUUGGAAAUUCGCCAUAAAGCUUAAUGUCAUGAUGGAGGUCUCACGGCUGGAUUUCCACAGUGUUUUUGGCCUGUUGCAUGCUGGAUCUGCUCCGAGUUUUAGCGGUGAGGAUCUCACCAGCAGAAUCUCCUCCUAUGUUCAGACUGUCACAAACACAGAAGAUACGUGUUUGAGUCUCAGUCUUAUUGAGAGCAUCAUUAGCAGACUCGCAGCACACAGUUUUACAGCGGACGCCACAGUAUACUAUCAAGACGUCAUCAGGAGAUUGUUCACUGAGUUUAAUCUCAUGACUAAACUGGUUUCUCUCCUCAGCUGUCAGGAUCAGCUUGUGUCUCAUUUAUCUGCUAAGUGCAUGUCUGUCUACGUCAUCAGUGAGCUUUGCA